AUUGAACGCUGGCGGAAUGCUUUACACAUGCAAGUCGAACGGCAGCACGGACUUCGGUCUGGUGGCGAGUGGCGAACGGGUGAGUAAUGUAUCGGAACGUGCCCAGUCGUGGGGGAUAACGUAGUGAAAAUUACGCUAAUACCGCUUACGAUCUAUGGAUGAAAGCGGGGGAUCGCAAGACCUCGCGCGAUUGGAGCGGCCGAUAUCAGAUUAGGUAGUUGGUGGGGUAAAGGCCCACCAAGCCAACGAUCUGUAGCUGGUCUGAGAGGACGACCAGCCACACUGGAACUGAGACACGGUCCAGACUCCUACGGGAGGCAGCAGUGGGGAAUUUUGGACAAUGGGCGGAAGCCUGAUCCAGCCAUUCCGCGUGCAGGAUGAAGGCCCUCGGGUUGUAAACUGCUUUUGUACAGAACGAAAAGGUUUCUACUAAUACUAGGAGCUCAUGACGGUACUGUAAGAAUAAGCACCGGCUAACUACGUGCCAGCAGCCGCAGUAA
rnacentral:rRNA from 1 species